GUAAACUAUAAUACUAGAAAAGAGUUCGCUAAAAAGAUUUUUCUGUAUUUUAAAAGAAGCCGUAAAACUAGAGCAUCGAUUUUGGUCCUUCAAGUAAUAACUUGGCUUUAGACGUUUCCACUUUCCUUUGCAUAUACAUCGAUAAAAGUACAAGUAAAAGGGAGUUCAAAGAGACGCUUUUGGUCGUCUCUGACAGUCUUUGGAGAGAAGCUUACAUCUCGUUCGCUUGAAGCAAAGACAAAAGUAGACGUAUGUACUGGAAUUGCGAAGUGGUAUGAAAUUAAAGCUUUUAUAUCUAACAGUUUCCAAUUAUAAUGGAGCUUUAAUAACAUUGUCGCACCUGAGUUAAUUGACGAUAUUUUGAUGCCCUUUGUUAUGCGAUUUUUAAGAAUGCCAGACGUCCAGUCAUUGAUUGAAGCUUCCAAAUGGAAUUGAAUGCUUGGCAACUCGUGAGAUUUCCAUAUUUCCUCCCAGAAUGGCUCUAUUUUCGUAAGCUCUUCAACAUCCUUAAUUUCAUUAUCAAUCACAAGCUUCCGGAUGCAUGAAGUGUAGUACAACUCAGCAUCCAAACGCUCAUUAGGUGAUAUAUUCACAUCAUUCAAUUUUACAAGAGAAGGAAUUCGCGCAAUCACCAGCAGUUUAGCUAU